rnacentral:sRNA from 1 species
AUCCUAGGAGCCACGCUGGGUCUCUGGCAGGACCACUCAGUGAACUCCUUGGGGGGCUGCAGCCCAGGCAGGGCUGGAGCCUGUGACGUCCCCUCCUCAAAGUUUGCAGACACAGACAACAUUCUGACCAACAAUCAGACUCUGCGGCUUCUCAUGGGGCAGGGGCUUCCAGUGGUGGCCCCAAUGCUGGACUCCCAGACCUACUACUCCAACUUCUGGUGUGGGAUCACCCCCCAGGGCUACUACCGCCGCACAGCUGAGUACUUCCCCACCAAGAACCGCCAGCGCCGGGGCUGCUUCCGUGUCCCCAUGGUCCACUCCACCUUCCUUGUAUCCCUGCGGGCUGAAGGGGCAGACCAGCUUGCUUUCUACCCGCCACAUCCCAACUACACUUGGCCUUUCGACGACAUCAUCGUCUUCGCCUAUGCCUGCCAGGCUGCUGGGGUCUCCGUCCACGUGUGCAAUGAGCACCGUUAUGGGUACAUGAAUGUGCCGGUGAAAUCCCACCAGGGGCUGGAAGACGAGAGGGUCAACUUCAUCCACCUGAUCUUAGAAGCACUAGUGGACGGCCCCCGCAUGCAGGCCUCAGCUCAUGUGACUCGGCCCUCUAAGAGGCCCAGCAAGAUAGGGUUUGACGAGGUCUUUGUCAUCAGCCUGGCUCGCAGGCCUGACCGUCGGGAACGCAUGCUCGCCUCGCUCUGGGAGAUGGAGAUCUCUGGGCGGGUGGUGGACGCUGUGGAUGGCCGGAUGCUCAACAGCAGUGCCAUCAGGAGCCUCGGCGUAGACCUGCUCCCGGGCUACCAGGACCCUUACUCGGGCCGCACUCUGACCAAGGGCGAGGUGGGCUGCUUCCUCAGCCAUUACUCCAUCUGGGAAGAGGUGGUUGCCAGGGGCCUGGCCCGGGUCCUGGUGUUUGAGGAUGACGUGCGCUUUGAGAGCAACUUCAGGGGGCGGCUGGAGCGGCUGAUGGAGGAUGUGGAGGCAGAGAAACUGUCUUGGGACCUGAUCUACCUCGGACGGAAGCAGGUGAACCCUGAGAAGGAGACGGCCGUGGAGGGGCUGCCGGGCCUGGUGGUGGCUGGGUACUCCUACUGGACGCUGGCCUAUGCCCUGAGCCUGGCGGGUGCCCGCAAGCUGCUGGCCUCACAGCCUCUGCGCCGCAUGCUGCCCGUGGACGAGUUCCUGCCCAUCAUGUUCGACCAGCA